AAUGUUGUUUCUGUUUCUACCCAAUAUUACAGGCUCUUUAAAAUAAUUUGGUCAUAAUCUUAUUCUGUUUUCAGAUACAUGGAAGAAAAAUGGAAAAAAAAACAAAAAUAAAAAACAAAUAUUUUCUGUUAGCCACUUAGAGAGCUAAAUGGUAGAAAAUUUUAAAUUCAGAAGAGGCAACACAGAAUCUCAGAGGAUGUGACACAGCAGUUAAAAAUACAUUAGGAAAUGAUCUUUAGUGCAACCACUGUGGAAAGGCUGUGAAACUCAACUAACUGGACUGAGAAAUGACAUUAGAGAAUGUAGAGCACGAGAAGGCUGGAGACCUGGCCAAAGGGAUCUUCUCAAAGGGCAAUUAGUCUUCAAAAAUAUUUAGAGCAGUACACAAAGUGGCCACUUGGUGUCAGGAGCUGCCAACUGUUCCUAUAAAGGAAACAUCUUUCAGUCUGGAAAAGAAAUAGGAAGAAUAUUUUUAAAUGACUUGCCUACCUAAUUUUCUCCAAUUUUAAAUUUUAA
rnacentral:lncRNA from 1 species